CCGGCUCUAUUACUUUCUUCAUCCAUGUUUGAAAUAUUUUUGCAACCAGCCUCGUAUUGAGUUGACCAAGAUUUCAAGAUUUAUCUUUCUACCUCUCUUCGAUGGCUUUUUUCGAGAUAGACAGGGAGGCUUUAUUUGGCAAGGGUGAAGUGCAGCGAAAAAAAAGAAUACAGUAGGAAGAAUUAUAGAUUAUUUUCAUUUAAGCAUUAUACAAGCUACUCCUGUGGGCAAGGACGGACUUGAGAGGAUACCCAAUCAGGGGUGUUGUGGCUCCUAGAAGAAAGUCGGGAAAAAUAACACUUAAGUGGCCCAUUUUAGUUUUUUCCAGAAAACAAUUUGUUUACUAUUCGUGCAAAGAGGGUCAGUUGGGUAAAAUAGCUUAAAGAGUAGUGACACAAUAACAGAGGUGGACGCCACAAAUUUGAAACUGGGGGGGGGGGGCUAAGAAUCAAGUUUAUUGACAUAGGAGAAAUUAAGCCAUUUGAAAUUUUUGAAGUUAAGCCUUCUAGAAUGGCUAAAAAUGCAUUUUCUAGACUAAUAAAUUAAUAUAUUACUAUAAAGUCUAAUAGAUUAAUAUAUUACUAAAAAGUCUAAUAAAUUACUAUACCGCUCAGAAUAGAUCAUUUGGGAGGGGAUGUGUCAUGCUGAAACUUCUUGAACAAAAAUGUGGAUCUUCUUUGUCUCGAGUAUUUUCAGUAGGCCGUGUUCACAUAUUCAAAAUGCAGACAUUGCUAGGAUACAGAAGUUAUUUGCUGAAUCAAUGAAAAUGAUAGACAAAUGAUAGAAAUACACCUAUAUAUAAGUAAGUAAAAAGAUCAAAUUAUAUCUAAACUGUUUGUUCUCUUUUAUUACAUACUCUGCUUUAAAACAAUAAAAAAGACGGUCAAACAAGAGCUUUUGCUGAGGUAGAGAAUUUUGAAUAUCUCCAAAUCUCUAGUUCAAAACUAUUAGUUUCAUAUAGAUGAGAGAUAAUUUCACAAAAGAAAUUAUUCCCUUAAUGUAACUUCCUGGGUAUUACAAAGUCACUUGUAAGACUAGCCACAACUCCCCUGUACCCAAUCUGUUUUUCGGGGAAGUGGGAAUCCUCAUUUUUGGAGUCUGGAAUCGAAGUAAGCCCUUACGUAAGCACAUGAACUGUAUUUUGCCUUACAAAAAUAAAAGAGGCAUUCCCUAUAAUGUAAUGUUUGUUCUAGUCGGUUUGAAUGGUGCUGAAUUGCAUUUAGCUAUAUUAACAUAAUAGCUCCUUGAUAAAUUUUCCAAAAAGUCUAUCAUCAGUUCCUUACAAUAAUAACAGAAGACUGUGCAGCAUUAUUCUUCAAAAAAAUCAUACUCAGGGAUACUCUACAUUAUCCUAUUUGCUCAUUCCAAAUGUUUGCUAAGUAUAACGAACAAGAAUUGUUAUCAAAUAUGCGUACAAGAAUUAUCCUACGCUGUAAUCAGCUGAAGCUUCUUAUCGGGUUUGUUUAACUGUCCUCAAUCGUACUACAUAGUUUAUCUAAAUACAGCUGCUUGUAAUAAAUGAAAAUCUGAAAUCACAUUAGCCCCACUUUGCAAGGAUAGAAACGAUAAAUACACACGGGUGUAUGAGAUAUUGGCCUAAAAAUGAAAAAGUUCAUCUACGUGGCUUUUUUCUUUGGAAUUUCUAUCCUCCAAACAACUCGUUCUCAACUACAUUCAAAAUGCUCUGAUAAAUUCAUUGGUAAAGAGUCAGGGGAAUAUCCUAGCUGCGAGUACUAUGCAAAAAAUGAUUAUUGCGUUAUUAAAAAUUAUACUGACUGGCUGAGAGAGAAUUGUCAACGUUCGUGCGGAUAUUGUGAGGCGUUUUGGGGAUUUGAGGAGUAUCAGCCACAUAUUUUUGCAACCAAGUUGUCUUAUGUAAACAUGAGCUUGGUUUCCCAUGUCAUCAUAACAAUACAAGUGGAAAAUUUGGAGGAGUGUUUGAAGAAGUGCACAGAUCUCCGUCUAAACUCUUCAGGGGAAAAAUGCUUUUCAGCCAACCUAUCUAUGAGCAUGAAUGGAAAAAUGGAAAGAAUAUGCGAACUAAAUUCGAGUACAGAAAGAAAGAACCCGGAGCACUUUGAGUCAAGAGAAAACUUCGUUUAUUUUGAUCUACUGGGAGCUUGAUUUAUGACCGAUUAUAAUCAAAUGAGUUUGGCUUUAUAUCAAUCAAUGUUCUAAAAGAUUUGACCUCUGACAAAAAACAGUAACUGAAACAAUUAAAGUUCCACCACGGUAUGCAUGGGGUAGGGCAAAACCUUAAAGUUUCAUGUUACCUUAAAGGGCCUCUCCAGCCAAAUUUUGCACUUGCAUUUUAUUGGCUAAUCUAAAGGAGUUGAACCUGCUGAUCACGAAUUCGUUAUUUGUUUCUCGAUAUUUUUUACAGUUUGUGAGACAUAAGCUCUUGCAUUUUGAUAAUUGAAUUGAAUCAACCGACAAAAAGUUUUCGGUUUGGUGACACUGUGACGCAAUUUUGACGUCACAAUGUAUUUCGUUAGUCUCGCCUCAAACCGAAUCGAACGACGGCGAUUCGCAAAUUGAACACUGCAAGUGAUGGUACUCUCAGUUCUGUUCCACCGUCUUUUAGUUUGAGCAUUUCAGACACUAAUCCUGAAGCCUUUAAUUGUUCAUCGUUUCUGGAGGACAACUGAAGUGACAAUUUCGAUCAAUUUUACGCGAGGGAAGAGCUGGGACAGGAAGCUGAGUGGGCCUACAAAGGUAAUCAAAACAAAGUCGUGACACAGCAUGGACACAUUCGACCCGCAAACUUAGAAUGAUUGUAAACAUUUGAUAUUUUUCGAUCCUAAAAAGCUCCUGCUCUAGAUUUAUAUGUAGUUAUCAACGCGUGACCAUGAUUCCUUCACGAUUCGGUGGAAGAUAUACGAAAUUCAUGGCGAACGAGAGCAGCACACUGUGACGGCAGAAUGUCACCAAACUGAUUCGGCUUUUGUCGUUUUUUUCUCGGAAAGGUGCAACUUUAAAGCCUUACAACUUCUAAACUAAUUGGAAUUUGCAAAAACAACGACUUUGCCAUAAUACACGCAUCAGAUGCUAACUUUUAAGUCAAUAAAAAAAAUUUUUUUUUUGGCUGGAGAGGCCCUUUAAAAUCGAGUCAUUCGCUACGUCAUAUGAUCAAGGAAGAAGAUUUCAAAAAUUUCCUUAUCUUCUUCUCGAUAGUUGCUUCUAGGAAGACUUUGUCGAAGUGUAGAUGUGAUGCUGUGGCGACAGGGACCAGUGUCGUGUAUACAAGGCUCAAAUCAUAGUAUGCAUUUAACAAGUUUUAUUUAUAAUCAUAUAUAUGCAACCUGACUUCGCAGGUUUUAAAGGGAUUCUGGGUAAUAAGUAACAAAUUUUACUCAAAUACAGCAGUAUGGUAUUUACUUGAAAAUAUAUUUUGAAUUCACAUUGGUUGGAAUUUUGCAAAACUCUUGCAUUAAAAGUUACUAAAUAUUGACUCUUAAAACGCAGAUUUUGACUUAAAUCGCCAGUGUUUGAAAUCCUUGUUCCUUUUGUUGUUUUUGCAUAGAUCUUUGCAAACACAACAGUUUUAAUCAGUGAAUGAAGUGCUCCGGCUUGUGAAUGAAGGUUCAUCUAAAAAAAUAUUCAUACUGCACCAGAAACAAUAUUUGAUUUUCUCAAAUCAAGCAGCAUGCAUUUGCAAUCAAGGACAAUCUGCACAAAUGCUAUCUGAAUUGUCCUUCCUUGGCGGCCGGAACAGUUGAAUAAUACCGGCUUGGCUUCUUUUCUGUAUGGACGGCAAGCAAAACAGGCAACUUCGUUGUGAUUUCUACGUGGAAGAUAAUAAGAUAAACACUCCCCAAUGCACAUCUUGUUCUGAAUGUACCGGGUCUUGCAACCCUUUCUGUUUAUUGUUUGGUUAAAAUAUUUUCCGGUACACCAGCUUGUUCUCUCCCCAGUAUAAAGGUUAUGCGGGUACGCCAAAUCCAUUUCCUGCAAGUUUGCAAUAGACAUCGACCAUAGAAAAAUUGCGAGAGACAGCAUCACCUUAGGAAAAUCCCCCAUGACCCAAUUCUUUUACUGCGCCUGUCUAUCUCGGUUUUUUCAGCCACUCUUUAAUAAUGACUUGGGUGUUGGAUCGCUGGAAAAGCCAAUUUUUAUGUUUAAAAUGCAUUCUUUUUGUGUUGACUUGCGAUCCUAACGAUGUAAUUAAUCUAAAUUCAUUAUUCAAACCUUUCAUAAUAAAUUUUAUAUCUGAAGUACAGGAAUAUUUCUAAAAAGGGAUUUAUCAUUGUUGACACAUUCCAUUCGCAUUAAGGAAGAGGGGAAAACAUUCUCCAGUCGUAAAGAACUUUGCUUUGCUUGCAUUGCACCCAGACAGAGGAAACCAUUACUAGACAGAGUCCAUUACUGUUGGAGACUUUCAAAAAGAAUAUAUAUAUAUUGCAUUAGACAGUACACGCCUAUAAUACUUAUAGGUAUAAAGGUACAGUUUCCAGCCAAUGCUAUAUCUCUUUUCAUGGAAGUCUUUUGUUCACCCAACACCAAAUCAAGGUAAUCAAUUUAUCGAAUUGAGGAGAAUAAAGAUUGGGUGGCCUCUAUUAACAUGCAAAAUAGGGGGCAAUUACCCUCACCCCUUGAUAGCAUCUUCUUUUUUUAGACAAUAGACUAUUGGUCCCUUUAUAUAAGAACAAAGGUUUGAGCCAGCUGCUGCCAAUGUGUUUUGAAAUGAUAUGAAUGUUCUGAGUGAUGUCUACCUUUGUUGGUUAUCUUUGUUGGCAAUGAAGGGGGUACCUUUGUUGGCAAAGACAUUACAAAAAGGGGUAGCUAAACACUGAUCUUAUACUAACAUUUAGCAUCAGUCUUUAAUGAAAGCAAGCAUUUUUUCCAUAAACCAGGGGUUUUUAACUUUCGUCUGAUUCUACUUUGUCCAAGCUAUCUUUGGUACAAAAACCGGUCUGCUCAAAACGCAAAGAGCAUUUUUUUAAUAUCCAGUAAAAUGAGCAACCUAAAUAUACACCAGUAUCGCUCAGUCUAUUUACAUUUUUUGAUGCCUAUUAUUUACAAGAACGAGAGGGCUUCCUCUAGAAGCUAGAAACUUGACUCUCCUUUCAUCCUGUCCUCUUUGGGAUCGGACCAUAGGGUUUGUGCGUCUCAACAAUCAAAAUCACCAAGCAAUACAGAUUUAAGCGUUGUUCGAAAAAAACGAUUCUGUUUAGCUUUAACCAAAUCCACUUCUUUUGAAAAUUUGGAGAACGCGCCUUUAGGUACAUCCAAUUACCAAAAACUUUUGAUCUAAUGAUUAAUGGUCGUUACAAGUGUUCCUAUGAAAAAGGAAGAGACAUUUUUUCCCAUUUUCCCCUCUCAGUGAACUUUGUGCAUAUUAUUCCAGAUCGUGUGUAACGUAAGUAACUUGUUUGAGACUAAAUGUACAUCAAGUGAAAGCCUAUCAUCGAUUUCAAUGGAAUUUUAAGAGUCAAAAAAUUCGAAUUCACAAUUUAAUUCAAUCUAAAAAUGCUGGAUUGGAUUGCUUAAAAUUCUAAAAUGUCUACCCGCACUUAAAUACAUGAUUUUGUAAGUACUAGAUGGAAAUGUACAUGUCUCGUUCGGGUACUGAAUGCCUGUUUGUCUCCAGUGGUUUGGUGGGAAAUAAUUUUUGUGGGAUGAGGUGGGGUGGGGUAGGAGGCUGGCGAGAGGGAAUAAAUUUCCGAAAAGUUGCAAAAUUUCCGAAAAGUAGGGAAAAUUUAGUGCUUUAGGGUACUGUGGCCUUCCCUUAUCACUGCGCAUCUCAACGUAGUUUCCAUUUACCCCUUCUCUAAAAAAUGGAUUUGAAAACAGAGUUGCAUCGCUUAGUAUCACAAUAUCAUGUACAUAUGCUGAUUUGCAGGUAAUUUUUGCUCCUUUCUCAAUGGUUUUUCAAGUCAAGGUUAAACGUUAAACCAACUUACGUUUUGCCUUUCCACUUGGGGUCUUUAUCUCAUUGGAAUAUUGUUGCCAUUUGGUCUUUAUCUCAUUGGAAUAUAAACAAUCAAAGGAAAGCAACGCUACAAUAUACCUCAUUGAGCACAACCCUUCUUACUCUGUCAUUAGUAAGAUUUAUUACAUCGCUGGUAUCGUGCUCUCGAUUCUAGAUUCUAUAAAUAAACAGGUAUCAUAUCAUCAAAGGUGCGUAUCAUCGUCAGAACCUUUAUGAAUCCAAGCAUUGAAUGUAUGGCGGGGAAUAUGAAUAGGCUUCUGGUAAUCUUUUUAUCUCACAAAGUCAAA